rnacentral:misc_RNA from 1 species
GUAAGAUGGCGAGCAUACUACUAUGGUCUCAACGAUUAGUUUACCAUACAUCAACGUUUACCAAAGCGAGAAUACCCAUGAGGUAGUUAUUCAACACUAUCAAUUAAGUAUUGUGAAAUAAUGAAGUCGUAAUAACUUAACGUUAAUUUCAAAAUGAAGAGUAAUUAUUCACAAAGGAAAAAGUUGACGAAGUGAACAGUUCUUUCGGUCAUCAGGAAAGACAUGGAAAACUGAGGCUGAUGAAAAUACAGAUGAACCCAUACAAUAUUCAACAAGCAAAGCUGCAAAAUGGAAAGCUAGAGACACUUAUGGUGGACAAAGAGAUAUUCCAGAUUGUCAGCCUCUUGUUGUUACUUUGAGUGUUGCAGUUUUUAUGAUUUACUUUUGUAUUCUUAGAGAAGAGAAUGACAUAGAUGAACAAAUGAAGAAAAGCAUAUUUGAAAAAAUACCAACACUUAAGAAUACUCCA